rnacentral:rRNA from 1 species
UAGGGAAUCUUCCACAAUGGCGAAAGCCUGAUGGAGCAACGCCGCGUGUGUGAUGAAGGGCUUCGGCUCGUAAACACUGUUGUAAGAGAAGAAUGACAUUGAGAGUAACUGUUCAAUGUGUGACGGUAUCUUACCAGAAAGGAACGGCUAAAUACGUGCCAA